ACUCUAGUCUGGCACGGUGAAGAGACAUGAGAGGUGUAGAAUAAGUGGGAGCCCCCCCCCCCCCGGCGCCCAGCCCGGUCCUCGUGUCGGGGUCGGGGUACGUGGCCUCGCGGGCCGCCGGUGAAAUACCACUACUCUCAUCAUUUUUUCACUAACCCAAUGAGGCGGGGGGGGGGGGGGCGAGCCCCGAGGGGCUCUCGCUUCUGGCGCCAAUUUUGAAAAAAAAAAAAAAAAAAAGAGCAUGGAAUGAUGGGAGCUGGUGAGGGAGU
rnacentral:ncRNA from 1 species